GUCAACUGCAAAGUAGACAUUUGAGGACACCCUCAUACAUUCCUGGUACACUCUGAAAAAUUUAGUAUCUGUGUUCUUGUUUUACUAUCUUCCAAUUCUAAGCAUUCAAUAAGUUCCCUAUCUUUCUAGGAGAAUACUUUUCAAAGUGUGGACAACAGAUAACCAAUAUCAGAACCCAAUGAAAUGCUUGUUAAACAAAAAAAAAGAAAAGCCACAGAUCUACUGAAUCAGCAUCUCUGAGAGGCAGAGCCUGUGUGUCUGCCUCUGAAAUUUGGAUCAUACUACGAUUUGAGAACUGUGGGUGCAGUAUAACUCAUCUGUUUUCUGUUCAGUCUCUAAGGGUCACAAUUUAACAGGACUCCUUCAGGAAGGUCUGUAGCACCCUCUAGGCUGCCUGCUUUCUUGGCCCAAUCAAUCGGACGCGGAAACCCAGACUAGAGCUUGGAGAAAAAGCAGAUGGAGACAGAGACUGGGAAGUCAUCGGUGGGUGUCCAUAAAAGAUAAGUAGAGAGAUGACAGACAGACAGAUAGAUAGAUAACUGAUAGAGUGAGAGAAAGGAAAAAAGUUAGCUAAUCUGCUAGGAAUAGAUGAUACUCUAAGGGGAAUAAACAAAUAAAGGGAUCAAAAAUUACACUUUAAGAAAUAGAAAAGUUGUAAAAUAGAUAUAGAAUUCCAUCAUAGAACAUUAUAAAGAAUGGUACAGAAUUACAGGCAUGGAUCAGAGGAUUAGAAGAAGGCUCAGAAAUUGACAAGGAUGGUUAAGUUUAUUGAGGCUAAACUUUGGGAAAGCCUAGAAUGCCAGCCUAAGAUUCAAACUUAGAUUCCCAAGCAAAGGAAUGACAGAUCCAAGGCUGAGUAUUCUUGCACUGGAACCAGGCAGCUCCAUUCACUUCAAGCUUAAGAAUGCAUACCUCCCCUGACCAGCUCUCUUGAGGAGACCAAGCAGGAAUUCCUAAAGAGCUCAAAGAACACCACCUAACUAAUGAUAAACCCAGAGCACUAUCCUUAUAUAUGAAAAAUCAUGCUAUCAUUACAUAGUCUGAGAAAAAAAAGAAAAAGCAAGUAGGCUGGAAAGAGGAAAGUGGAUAGCUGAGUUUCUGACCCACUAGGUUCUGGUGACUGAGAACCUUCUACACAGAAAUGCCCUGAAGCCAAGUGACACAGCUGACUGUUGAGCUGAGGCCUGAAAAUAUUCCUCUGGGAGUCAGCUAGAGUGAGGUGGAAGUUGAUGUACUAAUAUUCUCCUUGGAGAGGGGACAGAGGAGGAUGCUAAGGACGGCAUAAUGGAGAGUAUGUAGGGAAUGGAUAAAGGGGAGGUAGCUGAGCAAAGAGAAUGAGGAAUGGCCCUUCCAUUCUCUCCCUUCUCUUCUCGGCCGUACUUUCCCUUUCCUUCUUUCUGUCUAACAUUCUAACACUCUUCAGUUUUCCUGCAUUUUGUUCCUCUUUUACUCAAACUAUCCACAGGCUUUGUCAUUCCGUUGGGAGUUGCCUUACAGGGAGGAAGCUGUCUACUCCUAGCUUAACGGCUGCUGCCCUGGCUCAGACUCAGCACUGACCACAUUCACACUCAGCUCCAAAUCGGAGGGAAAGUAGACACCUUAGGAUUUAGCCUUGACAGCCAGAGGCUACAAACCUGUCCCAAUGGCUGGGAGGCAAAUGGAUGAGUAAUUUCGUUUUUCACACUCCUGUAAAACACUGGAAACCGAUCUCUUGACAUCAUUUCCACCAAUUACAUGAAUGAUAUUCUUGCACCUCAACAAUCCACCUCCGGUGAUUACAUAAUCAUGUUUGCGCUGCUGAGCUGGGAAACACAGACAAAAAGAUGCACAAUUGGUAUAUGUUGAACCCAUCAUUUGUUUAGAAAGCAAAAUGUGUAACUUGGCAAGCAAGCAUUUUGUGAAUUAAAAAAAAAA